rnacentral:lncRNA from 1 species
AUCCCCCAAAUUUACAUAUUGAAGCCCUAAUCCCCAAGGCGAUGGUAUUAGGAGGCAAAGCCUUUGGGAAAUAAUUAGGUUUAGAUGAGAUCAUGAGGGUGGGGCGCCAUGAUAGGAUUAGUGUCCUCGUAAGAAACAGAAGAGACCCCAGAGCUUCCCCUCUUUGCCAUGUGAGGACAUGGUGAGUAGGUAAGUCUACAAGUCAGGAAAAGAGCCCUCACCAAGAACCAAAUUUGCCAGCACCUUAAUCUUGGACUUUUUCCAUCCUCCAGGAUUGUAAGACAUAAAUGUCUGUUCUUUAAGCCACCUAGUCUAUGGUAUUUUGUAAUAUCAGCCCAAGCUGACUAAGACAGGUGGCAAGGAAAUAGCUCAGGGAAGAGGGGGCCUUGGGAGGCUGGUGAUUCAGAAUGUAGAGCCAGGUCCAAGACUAGUGUUCUAGAAGAGAGACAGCAAAGGAUAGCUAGCAUUAAAAGGAAAAGAAAUAUAGCUGAAUGGUUGGGGAUGGAGUAGCAUGGCAAAAGGCCAAGGGCAGAGAAACCCUCUGCAAAGUUCAAAAUGAGAGAAGUUCCUAGGGGUUUCCGUCAGCUUGUGUGAAAAUUUGAGAUGUAACAGAGUAUGAGAUGAAGUAUGGAAUAACGGUAAAUAAAAAUUCACAUUUUAAUACAGGUUAUCAACAAUUUUGUAAAAGCAAGACUACUAAAAUAUAGAAGAGUCUUUAUACGCUAUAUUAUGAAAUGGAGAUUGAUUAUGAAGACUUUUUCCCUCAUAGAGAUUCUCAGAUUUUCUUUUGGCAAAGUUCUUAAAAGUGCUAUUGAAUUCAAAAAUGAGUUAGCUGUGUGCUACCUAGCAGAUAUAAAUUUUGAAAAGGCACACUUAAACAGUGUCUUUGGUGAUAUUUUCACAAUAAGUGUGAAAGAAGUACAUAUUUUUAAAAACUUAUUCUCUUUAAAAUAUGAUGUUUGGAAAACUUUAUAUUGAAGGGCAAUAUCGUUGCUGGAAACAACGUGUGUCACAUGAAAAAAAUAAAACCAACUCAGGUCUGAGCACCUAAAAAUUUGGAAACGGUAUUUUUAAACCUAUUUUAAAAUCUUCAAAAUAAUGUUUUGAAGUUGGCUUUUGAA